GGGGCUUCUCAGCCUUUUGGAUAAGAUCAAGUGUAGUAUCUGUUCUUAUCAGUUGGGGGUGGCAGACCCUUCUGAUGAGACAGAGAAACACUUGGUCCUCUUGCCAGGGGAUUAAUGCUUGAUGGAAGCCGAGGAGCUGUGCCCCCUCCGGGGGGUGCCUGACUCACUACGGGGUCUUGCACUUUAUGCUUU
rfam:Xenopus laevis strain J chromosome 9_10L, whole genome shotgun sequence.